GGAGGAAAAGAAACCAACAGGGAUUGCCCUAGUAACGGCGAGUGAAGCGGCAACAGCUCAAAUUUGAAAUCUGGCUCUCUUUGGGGGUCCGAGUUGUAAUUUGCAGAGGAUGCUUUGGCAUUGGCGGCGGUCUAAGUUCCUUGGAACAGGACAUCGCAGAGGGUGAGAAUCCCGUACGUGGGCGCCUGCCUUUGCCGUGUAAAGCUCCUUCGACGAGUCGAGUUGUUUGGGAAUGCAGCUCUAAAUGGGAGGUAAAUUUCUUCUAAAGCUAAAUACCGGCCAGAGACCGAUAGCGCACAAGUAGAGUGAUCGAAAGAUGAAAAGUACUUUGGAAAGAGAGUCAAAAAGCACGUGAAAUUGUUGAAAGGGAAGCGCUUGCAGCCAGACUUGCCCGCAGUUGCUCACCUAGGCUUUGGCCUGGGGCACUCUUCUGCGGGCAGGCCAGCAUCAGUUUGGGCGGUUGGAUAAAGGCCUCUGUCACGUAUCUUCCUUCGGGAUGACCUUAUAGGGGAGGCGUAAUGCAACCAGCCCGGACUGAGGUCCGCGCAUCUGCUAGGAUGCUGGCGUAAUGGCUGUAAGCGGCCCGUCUUGAAACACGGACCAAGGAGUCUAACAUCUAUGCGAGUGUUUGGGUGUCAAGCCCGGGCGCGCAAUGAAAGUGAACGGAGGUGGGAACCCUUUUGGGUGCACCAUCGACCGAUCCUGAUGUCUUCGGAUGGAUUUGAGUAAGAGCAUAGCUGUUGGGACCCGAAAGAUGGUGAACUAUGCUUGAAUAGGGUGAAGCCAGAGGAAACUCUGGUGGAGGCUCGCAGCGGUUCUGACGUGCAAAUCGAUCGUCAAAUUUGGGCAUAGGGGCGAAAGACUAAUCGAACCAUCUAGUAGCUGGUUCCUGCCGAA
rnacentral:rRNA from 1 species